AGUGAACGCUGGCGGUAGGCCUAACACAUGCAAGUCGAACGGCAGCACAGUAAGAGCUUGCUCUUACGGGUGGCGAGUGGCGGACGGGUGAGGAAUACAUCGGAAUCUACUUUUUCGUGGGGGAUAACGUAGGGAAACUUACGCUAAUACCGCAUACGACCUACGGGUGAAAGCAGGGGAUCUUCGGACCUUGCGCGAUUGAAUGAGCCGAUGUCGGAUUAGCUAGUUGGCGGGGUAAAGGCCCACCAAGGCGACGAUCCGUAGCUGGCCUGAGAGGAUGAUCAACCACACUGGAACUGAGACACGGUCCAGACUCCUACGGGAGGCAGCAGUGGGGAAUAUUGGACAAUGGGCGCAAGCCUGAUCCAGCCAUACCGCGUGGGUGAAGAAGGCCUUCGGGUUGUAAAGCCCUUUUGUUGGGAAAGAAAAGCAGCAGGUUAAUACCCCGCUGUUCUGACGGUACCCAAAGAAUAAGCACCGGCUAACUUCGUG
rnacentral:rRNA from 1 species